GAUGAACGCUAGCGGGAGGCCUAACACAUGCAAGCCGAGCGGUAGAGAUCUUUCGGGAUCUUGAGAGCGGCGUACGGGUGCGGAACACGUGUGCAACCUGCCUUUAUCAGGGGGAUAGCCUUUCGAAAGGAAGAUUAAUACCCCAUAAUAUAUUAAGUGGCAUCAUUUGAUAUUGAAAACUCCGGUGGAUAGAGAUGGGCACGCGCAAGAUUAGAUAGUUGGUAGGGUAACGGCCUACCAAGUCAGUGAUCUUUAGGGGGCCUGAGAGGGUGAUCCCCCACACUGGUACUGAGACACGGACCAGACUCCUACGGGAGGCAGCAGUGAGGAAUAUUGGACAAUGGGUGAGAGCCUGAUCCAGCCAUCCCGCGUGAAGGACGACGGCCCUAUGGGUUGUAAACUUCUUUUGUAUAGGGAUAAACCUUUCCACGUGUGGAAAGCUGAAGGUACUAUACGAAUAAGCACCGGCUAACUCCGUGCCAGUAGCCGCGGUAAUACGGAGGGUGCAAGCGUUAUCCGGAUUUAUUGGGUUUAAAGGGUCCGUAGGCGGAUCUGUAAGUCAGUGGUGAAAUCUCAUAGCUUAACUAUGAAACUGCCAUUGAUACUGCAGGUCUUGAGUAAAGUAGAAGUGGCUGGAAUAAGUAGUGUAGCGGUGAAAUGCAUAGAUAUUACUUAGAACACCAAUUGCGAAGGCAGGUCACUAUGUUUUAACUGACGCUGAUGGACGAAAGCGUGGGGAGCGAACAGGAUUAGAUACCCUGGUAGUCCACGCCGUAAACGAUGCUAACUCGUUUUUGGGUUUUCGGAUUCAGAGACUAAGCGAAAGUGAUAAGUUAGCCACCUGGGGAGUACGUUCGCAAGAAUGAAACUCAAAGGAAUUGACGGGGGCCCGCACAAGCGGUGGAUUAUGUGGUUUAAUUCGAUGAUACGCGAGGAACCUUACCAAGGCUUAAAUGGGAAUUGACAGGUUUAGAAAUAGACUCUUCUUCGGACAAUUUUCAAGGUGCUGCAUGGUUGUCGUCAGCUCGUGCCGUGAGGUGUUAGGUUAAGUCCUGCAACGAGCGCAACCCCUGUCACUAGUUGCCAUCAUUCAGUUGGGGACUCUAGUGAGACUGCCUACGCAAGUAGAGAGGAAGGUGGGGAUGACGUCAAAUCAUCACGGCCCUUACGCCUUGGGCCACACACGUAAUACAAUGGCCGGUACAGAGGGCAGCUACCUAGCGAUAGGAUGCGAAUCUCGAAAGCCGGUCUCAGUUCGGAUUGGAGUCUGCAACUCGACUCUAUGAAGCUGGAAUCGCUAGUAAUCGCAUAUCAGCCAUGAUGCGGUGAAUACGUUCCCGGGCCU
rnacentral:rRNA from 1 species